GACGAACGCUGGCGGCGUGCCUAAUACAUGCAAGUCGAGCGAAUGGAUUAAGAGCUUGCUCUUAUGAAGUUAGCGGCGGACGGGUGAGUAACACGUGGGUAACCUGCCCAUAAGACUGGGAUAACUCCGGGAAACCGGGGCUAAUACCGGAUAACAUUUUGAACCGCAUGGUUCGAAAUUGAAAGGCGGCUUCGGCUGUCACUUAUGGAUGGACCCGCGUCGCAUUAGCUAGUUGGUGAGGUAACGGCUCACCAAGGCAACGAUGCGUAGCCGGCCUGUGAGGGUGAGCGGCCACCAUGGGACGGAGGCACGGCCCAGCCUCCUACGGGAGGCAGCAGUAGGGAAUCUUCCGCAAUGGACGAAAGUCUGACGGAGCAACGCCGCGUGAGUGAUGAAGGCUUUCGGGUCGUAAAACUCUGUUGUUAGGGAAGAACAAGUGCUAGUUGAAUAAGCUGGCACCUUGACGGUACCUAACCAGAAAGCCACGGCUAACCACGUGCCAGCCGCCGCCGUAA
rnacentral:rRNA from 1 species